CCAGCAAUUUUUGUUGACCUUGGCUGCAAGACACUCCUACACAAGCAGAUCAUAUAAUCUUAGGUACGCAAGUUUUCUUGGGUCCUUCAUAGUUAGUCAUAUUGGUUCCUUUUGGAACCCAUACCCUUUUAAUUUUUCUUUUAGUUUUUCCUUUCCUAUAGUCACAUAUGUUUGCUUUAUGUCCUACAGUUCCACAACAAAAGCAGGUUACUUUCUUAGUUUUGCUUUCUCCAGCUUUAACAAAGAAGUUACUAAGAAGUUUUUGCUUAUUUUUAGGUUUAUAUCCUAAACCCGCUCUAUUAAAUACGGCUCGUUGACUAUUAAGUAUCAUAUUCAGUUUUUCUGAACUAUAUGUAAAUUUUUCAACCAAAGGUUUGUACUUUUUAAGUUCUUUAGUUAGAGUUUGUUUUUCAGUUUUUAGAAUGUUUAAAUCUUUUAUGACAUUUUCGUUUAAGAUUUGUUUAUUGUUUUUAAGUUCUGAAAUUUUCUUAGUUAGUUUUUCAAUAUCUUUACUCAAGGUAUUAGUCUUUUGAGUUAAGAGUUGAUUGCUUGUCUUAAGUUCUAAAUUUUCUUUGGUGAUAGAGUCCUUAUCCUUAACUAAUUU
rnacentral:lncRNA from 1 species